CACAAGUGAUCCUAGUGCAAGUCUACAGUGCAGAGGACAGGUUCCGUCCCGCCCCCCCCCCCCAUGAUGAAAGUGGCUUUUUGGGAUCAAUUUCACAUAUUCAUGAUCCUUCCUUGAAAACGGCAAGCAAAGGGAGCCCACCAUCUGCAAGGACUGGAAGACAAUAGGCUGACUGUGCCAUCAACACAUUCUAGCAGAUGGGGGCGUGGAGGAACUGGCUCCUGUCCAAAAGGGAAAAAGAUGCCUGGAUGACUUCCCAGGAUGAUGUGGCUGUUCAGAAGCAAGGAAAGAGGAAUCAGAUGGCUGCUCCUGAGUGAGGGUGAGGAAACAGUCAAGGGUGGAAGGAGAAAAAGCACCCAAAGGGUGAAGAAGAAAAGAGUAAAAGUGAUAAGACCAAUGGUGAAUUGACACAGCUCUGAACAGGGAAUAUCAAGCAGAGAGGAAAAUCACAAGGAAAAUACGUUUAGAACGUUUGCUUCAAUUCGUUUUUUAUUUUGUUCCAGUUAAUGUUCCCAGUUGUUCCAGCUUAAGUUGCCUGAUUUCAGUUUUUGAAUAUGUUAGCAUCUGAUGUGUUUUUAAUAACUCUUUCUCUCUUGCUUUCUGUUCCUUUUUAAAUACUUACUUAUCCAGACAGCACUCUGGGAUGCUGACAGAUUCCAGAACUACUUGUUGUUCCAACCAUAGGAAAUUAACCUGAACGCAACGCACAUCUGGGUUUCAUGAAAACCAUUACUAAUUUUCCUGUAUUCUGACCCCCUUGCUUAUAUCUGGUGAUUGUGUGUGUGAACGCGCCCGCACUUUAAUUGCUUAUAAGAAGGAGAACAGAUUUAGUCUUCUCCUGUCUUCUGGACUUUUGGCUGUUUUCUCAUCUGAAUGAUCUGUUGGAAUCUCUGCUGGCUGACAGAUGGGAUGAAAUAGGGGAAACUAAAGCAAGUUGAGAAAGAAAUAUUAUGGUUGAGGCCCACUGUGUAAGAUUAUAGUUUUUGUUUGUUUUUUUCCCUGCUGCUUUGCCAAGCUGCUGUGCGUGCCUGCAUUUAUUUUUCCAGAACAAAUAACUUUUUGUUGUGUGUGUUUGCAUUUUUUUAAGAGAAAAAGAAAAGAUAAAUUCAACUGAUCUUUACCAGAUCUGCUAUGGUACUAAUUAAAAAGUACUUUGUGAGAGCCAUCAUUGUAUUUCCCUCCCUUUGCUUGCAUUUAAUGUUGUAACAGAAACCCACAUUUACUAUGGAUGAAUUUCUGUACAUAAAAAAGAG
rnacentral:lncRNA from 1 species